AUUGAACGCUGGCGGCAGGCCUAACACAUGCAAGUCGAGCGGAGCGGCGGACGGGUGAGUAAUGCCUAGGAAUCUGCCUGGUAGUGGGGGAUAACGUCCGGAAACGGGCGCUAAUACCGCAUACUACCAGAUGAGCCUAGGUCGGAUUAGCUAGGUGGUGGGGGAAAGGCAUACAAAGGCGACGAUCCGUAACUGGUCUGAGAGGAUGAUCAGUCACACUGGAACUGAGACAAGGUCCCGACUCCUACGGGAGGCAGCAGUGGGGAAUAUUGGACAGUGGGCGAAAGCCUGAUGCAGCCAUGCCGCGUGUGUGAAGAAGGUCUGCGGAUUGUAAAGUAAUUUCAGCGGGGAGGCGUUACCCGCAGAAGAAGCACCGGCUAACUCCGUGCCAGCAGCCGCGGUAAUAC
rnacentral:rRNA from 1 species